UUAUCCUAUUCACCCCACUGAAUUGCUUUUACAAAAUUUAUCUUGGGGGAGGGGCAUUUGUCAUCAGCAGGUCCAAAACCACUUACUGCAUCCUGCUGUUGCAAUGUCUAGUAAACUCCAGUUGAGGACAUUACCCUAGGCUUCUGUCUUGUGAAGGCAUGAGGAGACUGAGUGACAGAAAGGAGUCUGCUUUUCAUGAGUGACUUUGUCCUACUGUAAACAAUGAAAAUCAACAUCGUGAUUAUUUUCUUCUCCAUGAAUGACCUUGUAUCGUUCUGAAUUAUUUUCACCUUAAAUCCAUUAAUUGAAGGUUAUUAUUUUCAAAAUACUGCUUAAAUAUCCCUUCUGCAACUUUAACAAGUACUCUAAAACUAGACCUCUUUUAAAAAUGAUACAUUUUGUAAAUGGAAAGAAACAGUAAUACCAAUUUUGAAAAGACUGUUGAUGUCACUGUGGUUUAUUAGGUAAAUACAAAGUAUAGGCUUUUGCAUUUUUUAAAAAGCAAAACCAAAGAGAUUAGAAACCAAGUACACAUAUCCUCUUUAGAAGAGAAACAUAACUCAGUUUUAACAAUUAGGCACUUAAAAAUGUAAAUGUAAGAUAACAUUUUAGAAGUAUAAACUAUAUUUACACUCCUAAAUUCCUCCUGAAAUGUUUACAAACACAAAAUCACAAGCAUGAAAAACAAAUUUCCUCUUUAUCAGAAAAGGAACCUGAAUUCAAAUACAAUAUGAUAAACCAAUGAUUAAGGUACUGGUGGGUAGGAGAAAAGAGCUUCUGAAAUUUACAUAUUUGAUUUAAAUGUAAGCAUUUCAUAAAACUAUCACAAUAGCAUACAGUAGAUAUCAUAAUGAAAAAUAUAUGUCAGGAAAAUAAUGAAUUCUAGACUUAAAAUUUUACUUUACAACAAGGCACUUAACACGUGGAAACAGUACAGUAAAUUUCCAAAAGAACACAAUUGGCUACCUCUCAUAUCUUGUAGUAUUUCUUUUGUGAAUAUACGGUAACAUAACCAUACAUUUUGCAGCAUUAAUCAUUGCAUAGGAAGUAAAUUAAAUAAUGAAUUCCAACUUGGCAACUAGAUUAGUUUAUAUUCAUAGUUUCCUCUUUUUCUUUUAAAGGACAGUUUUAAAUAAUUCCACAAUAAAGCACUCUUCUCAUUCAUGAUUUAUUUAGAACACAGCAUAUAUUAAUGAGUAAUAAAAUAUAUCAGAACUUAUAAGGUGAAUAUCUGUAUAAAAACUUAUCUUUGGGUACCAUUGACAUGAUUUUCAGUGUUUGGGUGUUGAAGUCAAGAGCACUUCUUAAUAGAAGAAAUAUUUUUAGCAACUGAGUUAAAGGAGUUAAGUUAUUGCAACACAAGGACACUUAAAACAAAAAUACCAAAAAUCUUUACAUAUAUAAAUAGAAAAGCCUUCAACACAUGGCAUAUAACUUAUAAUAUGCUUGAUUUAAACAUGUAAACUCAUUUAUUAAGAGAUUCCUUCUUACAAUUCCUUAGACUACAGAGGCUAGUGUGUUAAGACUGGCUUAAAGUUUUAAUCAGUUUACAGUGCAAAACAAAAACAAAAAAGAAUUAAGAAAGAAAUGGUCAAACUAUUUGAGGGGCAAGACGUGAACUUUCAAUGAAAAAAAGAAACUGCAUGAGUUCUAUCAUGUUAAAAAAAAAAAAAAACCAAGACAACAAAUUUUGUGUUUCAAAGUAAACAAAAUAUAGGUAGUUAUAAAGGGAGACAGUAAUGAUUGUGAUCAUGAGAGGUAAAAAUGUUCUACAAAUUUUCUUUGAUCAAAUGGAUAAAAGCUUAGAAUUACAAUUCCUUAGAUAAUCUGAGCACAUUUUACCUUUGGAAAAGGUUUAAAAUGCUUUUAAAAUAAUUCAUUUCACAUGAAAUUUUCAGAUUAUUGGCAAACAUAACAAAAAUCAAAUGCCUUUUAAAAACUUGAAAAUACAUUUUAAAAGUGGUGUUUAUGUUCCAAGUCAUAGAGUGUAUUGCCACAAGGGGUCACUGGUAAUACAGCAAAGAACCCGAAUGCAGUGUCACCCACAAACCAGAGUAGACUCGAUGCUCACUCUCAAAACAGCCUUCCUUCCACAGCCAAACUUGUUUCUCAAGAUGCCAGUAAAUUAAGUUCAGUAAAUUAAAUUCACUAUUAGUUCAAGUGGACUCAGGGAAGGAUGCUUUAUUUUCAGAUCUAGUGGAGGAGUGCAAAAGUAGAAUCUGAAGGAACUUCAUUUGAAAGCAUUUACAAAAAAAUGUGGUAUACUCUAUAGGAAUUAUAGGCAUUUCUCAGACAACCUAAAUUACAGGAAAAGCUUCAAACAGGAGCACAGACUUAGAAAAAACAAGGAUAAUAUGUAUCUUAAUUCGCAAAGAACAGGUGCUCCAAACAUUUACCAUUUCAAAGGCAAGAUCAUACUUGUUUCAUAUCCCAAAGUGGCACAUUGGGUUGAAGCUCAAGUUUGCUUUCCUGCAUGUAAAUGGGUUUCACUAUUUGUUUUAUUAUUCCCCAUCUUGAAAUAUUGACUCCCUCACCGUUAUUUUCAAACCAUGGAUUUCAAUGACAUGGCAGCAGCAUUGUCCAUGCUGGCAUCAUGUCUUUAAAGUUCUUUAAAAGGUGAUUUUUUAAAUUAAAAAACUGGAUUACUUGACUAAAAUACAAGGCUUACUGUUUCAAGGGUGUGUAGUAAUUGGUACACAAUGGUUUUUUAAAAUUAGGUUUAAACACUUUUCCUUAUUCAAUAGAAGAAAAGUGGGUUAUCCAGACACAGCUGAAUAAGGCUCUAAGAUGUAUCAGGUUGUUUUAUUUGAAUUAGAGGCUCAAUGAAAAUACCAGUGUUCAGAGAGCAAAACCCAGGCUUCUGUGUCAGAUGAUUUUCCUCAUUAUCGAGUAACAGGAACUUAAAAAACAGUGUUUUCAAGCAGAACACCUUGUUCUCGCACAAGUGUUGCUAUUUAAUAAAUGAACAUAAGUGAACAUUAUAUAGAAUUAUGUCUAAACUCAUCAGGUAAACUACAUAUGUGUUAAUUAUUGGUGUAUUUAAUAAGAAAUACCAGAAAAUUCCUUGUGCUUCAAAACCUGCCAACGAUGUUUGGGGUUUUAAUUCUUGUU